rnacentral:rRNA from 1 species
CAAUAGCGGAUAUUUAAGUUGCUGCAGUUAAAAAGCUCGUAGUUGGAUUUCGGGUGGGAAUGGCCGGUCCGCCGUUUCGGUGUGCACUUGCUACGCCCACCUUGCUGCCGGGGACGUGCUCUUGAGUUCACGCUCGGGACACGGAGUCGGCGAGGUUACUUUGAGUAAAUUAGAGUGUUCAAAGCAGGCCUACGCUCUGAAUACAUUAGCAUGGAAUAACACGAUAGGACUCUGGCCUAUCUUGUUGGUCUGUAGGACCGGAGUAAUGAUUAAGAGGGACAGUCGGGGGCAUUCGUAUUUCAUUGUCAGAGGUGAAAUUCUUGGAUUUAUGAAAGACGAACUACUGCGAAAGCAUUUGCCAAGGAUGUUUUCAUUAA